rnacentral:rRNA from 1 species
GACGAACGCUGGCGGCGUGCCUAAUACAUGUAAGUCGAGCGGACAGAAGGGAGCUUGCUCCCGGAAGUUAGCGGCGGACGGGUGAGUAACACGUGGGCAACCUACCCUGUAGAUCGGGAUAACAUCGAGAAAUCGGUGCUAAUACCGGAUAAUCAUUUGAAGUGCAUGCUUCGAAUGUAAAAGAUGGCUCCGGCUAUCACUACGGGAUGGGCCCGCGGCGCAUUAGCUAGUUGGUAAGGUAAUGGCUUACCAAGGCAACGAUGCGUAGCCGACCUGAGAGGGUGAUCGGCCACACUGGGACUGAGACACGGCCCAGACUCCUACGGGAGGCAGCAGUAGGGAAUCUUCCGCAAUGGACGAAAGUCUGACGGAGCAACGCCGCGUGAGUGAUGAAGGUUUUCGGAUCAUAAAGCUCUGUUGUUAGGGAAGAACAAGUGCCGUUUGAAUAAGGCGGCACCUUGAUGGUACCUAACCAGAAAGCCACGGCUAACUACGUGCCAGCCGCCGCCGUAAGAC